rnacentral:rRNA from 1 species
CCGUCUUGAAACACGGACCAAGGAGUUUAUCGUGUGCGCAAGUCAUUGGGUGUUGAAAACUCAAAGGCGCAAUGAAAGUAAAGAAUCCGCAAGGAUACGACGUGUGAUCUGAGCAAUCACGAUUGCCUGGAGCAACAUGGCCCCAUUCUGGUCGCUUGCGACGGGGUGGAGGAAGAGCGUACGCGGUGAGACCCGAAAGAUGGUGAACUAUUCCUGAGCAGGAUGAAGCCAGAGGAAACUCUGGUGGAAGUCCGAAGCGAUUCUGACGUGCAAAUCGAUCGUCUGACUUGGGUAUAGGGGCGAAAGACUAAUCGAACCAUCUAGUAGCUGGUUCCUUCCGA